UUUAGCUUAUUGUCUAUUUCCAAUCAAUACAUUCUAGAGAGUCUAUUCACAGGAAAACCUGAUAUAUAUAUCGCAUUUCCUGACUUCACUAUGCACAGACCAUAUUUCUUCUUGACAUGUUACUAUUUGUUAAUUACUUACUAUUAUUCUUACACAUCACUCUUUCGUAAUUUCUAAUCUUUCUCUCUUAUAGGACCCAGUGGCUGUCUUGAUGUCUCACAGCAGGAAGAGACUCUCUCAAAUAGGUGUACACAUGGGGAGAGAGAGAGCAAGGAGACUGAGAUACAAUCAGCCACCAGCAAGUUGUCUUGAUUUUCUGAAUGGAGCGUGGUAGCAUGUUAUAGAGUCCAAGGAAUUUGCCAAAUCCGUGUGAGAAGAUUUGCCUCUCACAUGUGAGAGAAUUUUUUGAGAAAAAAAAGAUCCUGACCCCGUCCCUCUGCCACCACCCGAGUGAGGAAGACUGACAGAGCACAUUGGCUUGCUGUGGAGACAAGAUCAGGGAAAGCGCCCCUGAAAAGAAAGCAUUUUGGAAGUCCUGAAGGUGGAGAAGGAGAUUUAGAGGAAGAGUGAUAAAUCAGAAGUCUUCGUCCAAGAAUUAGCUUUGCACCAUCUACAGACCUAAGCAGCUGCAGUUCUGGAGGCUGGGAAGUCCAAGAUCAAGGCAUUGACAGGUUCACCUUGUGGUGAGUGUCCAACUACUGCUGGUAAAAAGUGCCUUGAAUGCUGCAUACUUUGGAGGUAAGGAACUCUGUAUCAUCACAUGGCAGAAGGUGAAAGGGUGAAAAGAAGUAAACUUUGUCUGUCAAGCCCUUUAAUGAGAGCACCUUAAACCCAUUCAUGAGGGAGGAGCUAUCAGGGCCUAAUCACCUUUUAAAGGCCACAUCUCUUAUGACUAUCAUAUUAUCAACAUCUGAAUUUUGGAGGUGGCACAUUCAGACCAUAGCACAGGCCCUGGAGUACCUAGGUGAGAAGAUCAGUGUACACUUCUGCUGACUGUUUGGACAUUGGCCAUCACUGUAAAAGGGCUGACCCCUGAGUGAAGCUCCAUGUCCUCCCAUUCUGUUCUAGAUGAUCAGAUUCCACUUAAAUGCAUUUUAAAGCUGAAUAACAGCAGGUUUUCUUCUUUAAUGUUAACACUCAUAGCACACCAAUAUAUAAAUAAAUAAGAAUAACCUGUCAUAUGCUUUGUAAUAUAGGUUCUUAAUUUUUAUUCUCUCUGAUGGUGAAGGUGUGAGCAGAAGAAAUCUGUGCCGAAAGAAUAGCAGAACUUAGAUAAAUCACAAACAUCCAGUAUUUUCCAAUAUUGGUUUCUCCUUUCCUCCAUUUUCCCUUCCUGGAAGACUCUACUGGAUGUCUUAGUGUACCUCAGAGGUGAGUUUCUCUGUAAAGUCUUCAGCAAUCUUCUGCGCACAGAACUAUCCUCUUUCCCUUCAUUCUCCAAUGGCAUUUUAUGCAUGCUUUUAUUAUAACAUUUAUUAUGCUUUAAGAUGAGAGAGGAUAAGUAUCAGUUUUUACUGCCUGUAUCAAAAUGUGUCUUCUUGAGAACAUAGUAUGUUACUUACUUUUAAACCUCCUCACCUAACAGCACCUGACUCAGAGUGAGAUUUGGGGUUUACUCAGUCAAUAUUUGUAGUAUUUGUUGGUUAAAUGAUAGGCCACCAGAAUGCUGUCUGGAGUAUGUAACUACUUCUGCAUGGUGAUAGUAGCACACAAAAUAUGAAAUGGAAAUUAAAACAUUUCAAAACCUUUCCACCUCUAACUCACUGAGGUAAACAAUUUAAUACCAUGAUGUUCCCUUUCACAAUGUUUUCCAUAUUGUAUUAGUUAACGAUUGCGGUGUAGCAAAUUUCUCAGGGGCUUAGCCUUCACAAAAACAAUAAAUAUUUAUUAUACCGCAGUUUUAGAAGGACAGGAAUCCAGGAGCAGCUUGGCUGGGUUGUUCAGGCUCAGUCUCUCAUGUGGUUGCCAUUAAAAUGUUGACUGGGGCUGCAGGGUUUAACUAGAGCAAGAGAAUCUGCUUCUUAUGUCACUGUUGGCUGAGGCAUUAGCUUCUCACUGGGCUGGUUCUCAGUGGGAGGCCUCAGUUCCUUUCCACGUAAAACUCUCCACACAGCUGCUUGAGAGGCCUCACAACAUGACGCCUGGUUUCCCCCAGAAAAGCCAGUUCAGUAAAAAGAGCCAGGCAUAAACUGCAGUCACAUGCCAUCACUUCUGCUGUGUGGUCUUGGUCCCGAGACCAACUCUAAUACCAUGCAUUAUACAAGGGUAUGAGUAUCAAGAGUCAGGGGCCACUGGGGGCCAUCUUGGAGGCUGGCUACCAUCCAUAUAGGGUUUUUGGUUUUUAUAAAAAAUCUAAUGAUGCUAUAUACAUUUAUUUGCAACAUUUUUUCACAUGUAAAUACUUCACUACCCUUUCUCCAGGUUGGUAGAUAUGAAUGGAACUAAGUCAUUCUUUACAUUGUAGCUGACGUUAUAAUACAUUUAUUUCAGACCUAUUAAUUCUCAUUGUUUUCUAUUUCAAUAAAGUAAUACAUAUUCUUGCAUAUUUAUUUUCAUUUUAUAGAGGCUACCAAAAGUAAACAUACUUGAUCAAAAAUAUCAAAAAUAGCAUUUUGUUUUUUCUAUUUCCAUAGACAUUACUACAUUUCAAAAGAGUGACAAUAUUUAUUUUGCACCAACUAUGCACAAAAGUACUUGUUUUCCCAUAUCCUCUUCAGCACUGGAUAAUUUUUUAUAUACAUUUUGUCAUUUUGAUGUGCAAGAGAAAUCUCUCAUUUUUCAUUUAAUAUGCUUAUUUCACUAUUAGUGAGCUUGAGCACUUAAUGUAUGUAUUGACUUUAUGCCUUAUCUUUUCUGAAUAUUGUCUACUUGUAACCUUUCCUUCUCUUUUUCUCAUCAAUUUCUAUGGAGCGUUUGGUAUUUGCACACAGCAAGAAAUAUAAUUUUAAUUAUUUUUGCUCUGAAAAAUUUAUAGUAUAGUCUCCUUAAAAGAAUAUUAGCAUCUAUUUCAUCACCUUUUUGAGUUGAUAUACCUAAAAGUCUACCAGGUUUCAUAGGGAUCAAACAUAUACAGAAAUAUUUUAUGUCUUAUUUCUAGGGAACUUAAGAUUGGAUGAGAACGUGGCUAUUGACAUUACUAAGCUGAUUCACCUACCCCAGAAAGUGGCAAAUUAAGCAGUCUGUUGACUUUAAGAUUACCUUGGAGAUAGAUCACAGAAUUUAAAAUGCAGUCACUCAGAAAGCAAAAUUGCUUGGGAAUAAAAGGCAAUAAUUACUAUCACUCUUUCUGCAACUAGUGAAAUAUAAAAAGAAAAAAAACCACCUCCCACUCUAAACCUUGAAGCCUCAGCAAAUAUUCAGAGACUCUUCAGAUUGCAUAUUGUGAUCAAAGCAGCAAUCCUUAGAGUAAGCAGAAACUGCAAACUUCCCUCUCUCUGUGUGUUUUAAAUCCCAAACUACUUUGAUUGCUUUUCUGUCUAAACACAAUAAACACCCUUGACCUUGAAUUAUACUGUUAGGAGAUAAACAUCUGGUAUCUGGAAGAGAGCACUAAAAAUGAAUUCUUUGCUCUCUGGCAUCUUAAUGAACAAUGACCAGUAACAAAUCAAUAAAGAUAGUAUGACAAGCUGUGAUUAAGCGAGUUUUAGAUAAAAUCUCCAAAUAAUCAAUGUUUAAUAUAUUGGCUAUCUAAAAGUACAUCUCUGGGAUUACUGCUGCACUGUUUAGGAGUUAGUUUGGGUAAAUUACCAGUGGGGAAUUGGGAAAAGAGAACACAACAAAUUGUUUUAUAUUCCUGGCAAUAUUAUAAAGAAUAUUCUUAUAUUUUAAUUUCUUACCAUGUUAUUUGGGAGAAUUUUCUGGUAAGAAUCACAGUGGUUUUAAUUACUUGGCAAAUAGAUUCUUUAUUUCCACAGACUAGUCCCUGAUACUAUCACUGAAGAUCAGUGAAGUCCCAUUGACAACCCCUUUUUCCCACUGUCACCACUCUGUCCUCAUAGUACAGUAUAAAAGUCUGGAUUAUUGUUCAUAGAUAUUUGUUGUCCUUUCAGAAUCCCAACAGAAGACAGCUGGUGUGUCUAUGUUAAGAUAAACUUAGGUGUUGUUAUUUACAAAGAUAUGAUUUACAAAGGCAAGGUGGAAUGUAGCCAGUCUGGAAUUAUUAUAGUACAGGUUGAGCAUCCCUAACCUGAAAAUCUAAAAUCUGAAAUGCUCCAAAGUUCAAAACACAAUGCCGCAAGUGUAAAAUUUCACAUCUGACCUCAUAUGAUGGGCUAUGGUCAAAACACUGUCCUAACUUUCUUUACAUGCACAAAAUUAUUUAAAACAUUAUAUAAAAUUAUCAUCAGUCUAUGUGCAUGAAGUGUAUAUGAAACAUAACUGAAUUUCACAUUUAGAUUUGGAUCCUACCCUCAAGAUAUCUCAUUGUAUAUAUGCAAAUAUUCCAAAAUCCAAAAAGAUGUGAAAUCUGGAACACUAAUGGUCCCAGGCAUUUCAGAUAAUGGAUACUCACCCUGUGUUUAAGACUCAGAUUGAUUUAAAUGGGAAAGAUUGUUUUGAAGUAUCAGAUAUACUUUA